UACAUCCAGGCUAAAUGACUGAGCUGAGCUCAAUGAAGCCAAAACAAGUGCGUCCACGCUUAAUUGGUUGCACAAAGACCAAGCCAGGAUGAUCAGACACGGAUUCAUCAAGCCAGGUGAAACCAAUCCUGGAUAGGUGCGCGCUCACGGCUCACUCAACUAGACCCCGCCACCGAUCACAGAUUCACUGAUUCACCAUGGCAACUAGCGGCGUUCUUUUCCCCGUCAGAGGCACAAAUCCAUACGAGGAGGUAAAAGACAUAAUUAAGAAGAAAGGCAACACCGCCACAGUGGUAAAGCAGAGAGAAAAAGCGUGGCAAAGUAUUGCAGACCGCCUGAAUGCAUUAAAUAUGACCGGGCCAAAACGGACAUGGCAGCAGGUCAAAAUCAAAAUCUGCAGAAUGCAGUGAAAAAGAAUACCCAGAGACAAGGCACGGGUGGUGGGUCACCAAAAGCUGACCUCACCCCAGCAGAGGCCAGCUUUGGAGCUAAAUAAAGGCAGGCCUGUUGGAGGGAAUCCCUGGGGGAAAAGAGACAAGCAUAGGUCCCUCACAAGAUGCCACCCGCUUCAUACAAGGUAUGUUCUUCCAUCUCUACAUGGGACACAAUCACAUUCAUAUUGAAUCUAUUUGGACUGUCUGACUUUGGUUUGCCUAUUGCCUUGUAGUGUCUGGUAGCACUGUGUUACUGUUAAAGCCACCAGCACGAGCACCUGACGAUGCUGAUCCAGUGAGUACUCCAUCAAAGGCAUACUGUAGGCCUGGCAUGUCUUGUCUACUAGCUUCAAUAUGAAUCCGAUUAAAUGUGAUGGGGUCAAGGCCCCAUUUCAUCAGCACAUAACGGCGAUGAUGAUGAGGAGACCAUCUCUCUGGAUUCCAAAAGGCAUAAGGUAUCAUGUCAAACUUGUGAAAGUACUAUACAAAGGAGUCAUCAUUGGGAGCCAUCACAAAAUCUCAUUUCUUUUACAGGACCCAGAGUCAUUGGUGCACUGGACUGCACAAACAUAAGGAUAAAAGCCCCCUCAGGUGCCCAUGAGGCAGAUUUUGUAAAUAUGAAAUCUUUUUACAGCAUUAAUGUUCAGGUGAACAUAACUUUUUGAUCUUUUCCAUUGAACACUGGCAAAAUGGCCUGGCUCAGUCCAUGACUCCAGAAUCUUUUGGACCUCUGAAAUCUAUCAGCGCCUAUCACAAGACAGGGGGUAUGGCUGCCAGCCGUUUUUCCUGACACCUUUCACAGACCCCCAGGAAGCACAGCAGGCCUACAACUAUGCCCAUGCUAGGGCCAGAGUUGAAAUGACCUUUGGCCUCCUGAAGGCACGCUCUCACUGCCUUCACAAAUUAAGAGUCAGCCCUGUGAGGGCAUGUGACAUUACUGUGGCUUGUGGUGUCCUCCACAAUGUGGCCUGCCUGAGGAAGGAGAGGGCACCCAGAGUGCCGCCAGCCAUGGACUGGGACAAUCCGGAAAUCUUCCCUGAUGACAACAGUGGUCGGCUGCUGAGGGAUCAAUAAGUGUUGAAUUAUUUUAGUCAGUAUGUGUGCUUUCAAAUUUUUUUGAUGUUUGUGCUGUAUACUGUGUGUAUACUGUUUGUAAUACAAGCUUGCAGGGAGGCUACUGCAUCCAUUAAUUGUCUUGUUUUCAGUUGUCUGAAAUUGUCUGUUCAGUUAAUGUGUAUGAAUUUGUCCUGCAUUUAUUUCAGUGUGCAGACAUGCAGGGUGUGUUAUAUACAGACCUUUGAAUGUGUAUUUAUCCUUUGGUUGUAUAAUAUGCUUUGAUUCUGUGCUUUCCAUCUUGUAGAGUCACUGUGUGACUUCAGUUUCGAAAGGAGCUGAUGGUUUACCUGCUUUGUUUUGUCCUUAUUCAAUAAAGAAACAUAAUGUUACACUUUGUGCUUUUAUAUUUAUAUGAAAUGUGUAUGGUAUAAGGGCCACACAGAGGAAAGGAGAAAGUCAUACAUUUGAGGCUGGUUCUUUCUGUGGAAAGAUACAUAUUGUUUUUACAGUCCUGAUACUUAUAACAAUUUGAUUAAGUAUUUCCUUGUUUCUAAAACCAUACUGAAGUACAAUUCCACGAAAUGCCCCACAACUGUUAUUGUAACAACUGUCCUCCUCUAAAACAACAAGUUACAAUAUUACGACUUCAUUCUCUGUCUGUUUUUUUCUCUGUGGCCCUAAUGUUCUAUCAUUUUAUGUAUAG